UUAAAACUCCAAAAGACGUCAAAAAGAAAUAAAAAUGGAGAAAAAUUAUUUAACUCAGCAAGGAUAUCGUCACUGAGAGAGCAAAGCUUCACUCCAACAGAAGCAGAACCCAGGUGGUAAGGUUUGACAGGUGGACACCAAGUGGAAGCACAAAUACUGAGAAACACUCUGCCACCAAAAAAAGACAAAGGAAGGCUAAAAAAUGGUAACUAGAAGGUAGAGCAGCAAAGUCUAUGAAUCCUUUUGAAAAGAAGACCUGAACAUACAGGAAGGCUAAAGAAAAGGCAUCUGUGAAAAGGAAAGGGGUCUGGAAAGGGAGAUAAGGGAGGGAGAGAGGUAGAGACGGAGAGGGGCACAAGAACAGAGACAGAAACAGAUAGUGAGGAAGAGAUACUGGCUGAACACAGAGCCAAAGGACAGAAGGAAUAGCAGAAAUGAGGUGAAAGGAGGGGAGAACGUGGUGUCUGGAACAGUGAAAGCAUUAGCAACAAGUGGCCACGAACCUCCUCCUGAGCCUGGGAGGAUAAAAGGGAACAGAGAGGAACAUUAGAGGGGUACAUGAGGAAGCUCAAGUUGAAGGGCCUUAAUCUUGGGCACGCAGCAGGCACUUGAGUAUCUGACUGAGUAGUAACAAUCCCAGGAAACCCUGGUGGCGUAGUGGUUAAGUGCUACGGCUGCUAACCAAAAGGUCGGCAGUUCAAAUCCGCCAGGCGCUCCUUGGAAACUCCACGGGGCAGUUUUACUUUGUUCUAUAGGGUCGCUAUGAGUUGGAAUCAACUCGACGGCAGUGGGUUGGGUUUGGUUUUUUGGUUAGUAACAAUCCCAGUGGUAGAAUUCUUGCCUUUCAUACAGAAGACCUGGAUUCAACUCCAGCCAAUGCACCUCAUGUGCAGAUCCUACCUGUCCGCAGCAGAGGCUUGUGGGUUGCUAUGAUGACAAAAAGGUUUCAGAACAAUUUCCAGACUAAAAUGAAGUAAGAAGAAAAGCCUGGCCAUCUACUUCCAAAAAUGAGCCAAUGAAAACCCUACGGAUCAAAUGGUCUGAUCUGCAACCAGUCACGCAUGGGGAUGGCGUGGGACCAGGCAGUGUUGUAUUCCGUUGUGCACAGGGUUGCCAUAAGCCCAGAGCCUACUCGACAGCAGCUAACAAUGAGAAAUCUCAAGAAAAGAGGAAGUGAGGCCAUAUGCUGUUGAGUGGGAAGAAGAGAACAGGGGAACUGAUGGCUUAAGGACCGCAGGACCCCAGCGCAAGUCAGAGAAGGACAAAGACCUCCCCAGUGGCCAGGGACUGGUGCCGUGUACAGACGGAACCCUGUCAGUUAGCUUAGGCAUUCAGAACCACAUGCUCUCCAGGUGCUCCUGAAUAAGAGUGGGCCUCCUCUCUCCUGCUCCUGACAGUGAGUACAACCCUGUUUCUGACGGCUGGUUAAAGGGAAGAGGGGAAAUCGUGUUCUCUCAAAUAGCUGCAUCUUUUAUUCCUGUUGUCAGAGGCAAGCCUGUUACUCCCCACUCUCCUCUGCACAUACAGAUGCCCAAUUCACGUGCUGCUUGCCCAGACAGUAAAAAAGCAGAUUCCAUAAGCAUAUAUUUUGGGUACUCAGUCUACAUGAGAAGAGAAAACAUUUCCCAAAAGCCAACCCAAAAUGGCUUUAAAAUCUCUUCCAGGCUGAACUUGGUCAUUCCAACCCAGCGGUGCCUUGAUGCAGAAUGUCGCUGGGCUAUCUGCAUGGAACUCACUGGAGUCCAGGGGUGCAAACUACCCCUUCCGCACCCCCAGCUGCGUUCCCCGGCUCUUUUCGCAGGUUAGGCUGGCCUGGGUAAACGAUUCAGUUAGUGUGAGUUAGGGGGCUCUUUUUCAGGUGAGUUCUUUCUUCUUUUGUUUAGAUUUGACUCAAAACUUACUUCAAUUAUCUCUACUUCUGUUAGAGUACCUAAGCAAAUUAAAUCAUUUAAAGUGAGGAAGGGAAAUGAAGUGGCUGGGUCUUCAAAACGACUUAUGCAAACAGCCCCUCCCCCACCCCAGCCCUACCCUUUGGACUAUCUCUGCCCUCUUAAACUACGAAAAUCCAAGACAAGCUAACUGCUUCUCAAAGGAAGACUCUGGACUCUGAGUGUGAAAACCCUGUGGUUAAGCCCUGGCUUGCAGAAAAUGAAAAAUUUCAGCAACUCUGGAAUGAAAUGUCAUGUUCAUAGCUACACAAAGUUUCACAGCUGUUCCCAGCCAAUAUGAAAACCGAAAGGGGAGAUUCUAUCUUUAUCCUCUACCUCCUAACCUAGAGUCAAAGCUGGUACUGUCCUGGGCAGAGCUGCCAGAGAGCAUUUUCAGUUCUAGUCUGCUGAGCAGAACAGACAAAGGAAGCAAGGGAAUGCAUGGGGCCAGCAAAGUGCAACCAAACAACAAAUACCAGGCCCACCUGGAAGAAAGAAAAUGCAGUUAAUAAUUUAAAAUUGUGAACGGACACAGUGAAACAGAAUUGCUUGAAAGGUGGUUCUCAAAGUCAUUUAGAAAGUCCUUUUCAAUCCGUUCAAAAUGCAAAAGGUUAGGUUGUCAAACGCAGCCUAAUUCUAUCUGAAUAUUCCCGCUGGGAGGAGAGCAACCCUUUUACCAAGUUUCUUGGAAGGAAAAACAUGUUUUCUCCUACUAAGAUGAAAGUCCAGCUCGUAGAGACUCAACACACACCUUCUUCAGACCACCUCGUGGAACCAUGCAUCCCUGAGACUGAGAACACGGUACCACGGAAAAUGAAAGACCAGAUAAGACUCAAAAGGGAAGGCGAGGAGGCAGGAGAGCCUGAAAGUUACACACACGUUAACCGAAGAAAAUGUUCUUCUGGUACAAACGAACUGCCUCCCUCUGAGAAACCACUUCCCACUACCUCCUUCGUUCUAUUUAUUGUUCAGUUGUAAAUGACUGGGCAACUGCUCCCUGGCCACGCGUCUCAAGGAUUGGCCAAUCUGUGUCAGCAGCCCAUACCACAUACACAAACCACCAACGAAUGAAGCGCGUGAUGAGGGAGCUUCAUGUUUUAUGUGAAAUGACACCGACACACUGCACUUCCUGCUAGUUCUGACAUACUGUCUCUAUUCAAGAAAAAGUAAAGAGCUACCACAGGGCCUGCUGGAUUAGCACCCUGAAAUCACUUAGGCAGAAUCGCAUUGAGGAUUAAGCUAAGGAAUGGAUUCUGGAACUACAUCACCUGGGUUCAAGUCCAGGCUUUACCACUUACCCUCUGUGGUAAGGGGCAUUCCCUUAGGCAUUUACUAACCUCUCUGUGCCUCAGUUUCCUCAUUUGUAAGAUGGAGAUGAUAACAAUACCUACUUCAUUUGUUCAUUGUGCGACACAGGUGAGUUAAGUAUGUAAACACUGUCUGGGACACGGUGCAAACUACCAAAGUGCUUGCUAUCAUCACGCAUGUGUUCACAGCUAACCCAGGCUUACUGUUCACACACACUAGCAAGUGGGUACCUGCUCUUCUGGGUUAACUCACACAUCGUCAGGUCAAGAGGUGCUAAAGACAUUCCAUUCAUCUGGAGCAGUGGUUCUCAAACCUGAGCAUGCACCUGGAGGGCUUGUUAAAACAAGGAUUGCUGGGCCCCACUGCCAGGGUUUCUGAUUCCAUAGGCCUGGGGUGGGGCCUGAGAAUUUGCAUUUCUAACAAGGUUUCAGGUGCUGCUGCUGCUGCUGCUGCUGCUGCUGCUGGUCUGGGUGCUGCACUGCACUGUGUGAUGGAUGCACUGCUCCAUGGAACAGCUAAGUCAUGUUUUAUGCCCCAGGCGUACGCCUUUUCUAGUUGAUUUAUCUGAGCCACAGGAGAUGAAAUGAGAAAGGAGGGUGGCAAAAACACUUGUGGCAAAGACGUUGCCUGCUCAGAGAACAUCUGUGGGCUCACAGAUAUUCCCUAGCACCUCUGCAGUCGGGCAGGCCGCGUGACUAGAAGUUCCGGCCAAUGGGCUGUGAGCAAAGGUGACCGGCAUUGCUUCCAGACUGAAGCUUUUAAAAGCUGGCCUGUGACCCUCCAUCUCUGUCCCCUUACUGUGGCACCCCAGAAGCCAUGCAGAAUGGAAGAGGUAGUUCUAUGGUAAACGCUGCCUGGAUCCUGGGGUCACUGUUUGGAAGAGGGCUAUACUAACCAUACUAGAGAGCUGCUAAACCUACAGAGGUUUCACCUGAACAAGUAAUGACAUUUUAUGGUUUGACCACUGAGAUGUCAAUGUUUAUGUGAUACUUCAACAUAGCUUAGCUUAACCUGAAUAAAACAGUUCCCAUUACUAUCACUGAAAGGACAUUUGAACGAUCAGCCUGAGUGGGUCCAAGCUAGUAAACACAGAUAUGAGGUGUUUUAUAACAAAAUCAGCUAGAAGGAAUUCUACCCUACUCUCAUUUACUUUAUCCACCGAAAUAGAUAAUUUUUUUUUUAACCUAUUUUGGGGUCUGUUAAAAUCCCUCGUAAUUAUGUAACAGUGGCUUAAAACUGAGCUAAGUAUGCUAAGACAUAUUGAAAAUGUGAAAAACAAACACACUGAAAGAUUCGGAUCAAGAGUCCCGUGAAGCAGAGCAUACAGACCCCAUUACUAGAAUCCUGACUCCAAUCCCGCCCCUGCAGGGCAGGCCAGGAGUAAAAGGUUUCAACUUUAUUUAGUCAAUCGUUUAUGAAUCGAUAAUGUAUUUCGCCCAAAUGGGAGAAAGGGGAUCUCUAUAAGGUAAAAACAUCAGCACUUAGCCACAAAGCUGCUUAAAAAACAAAAACCAAAAAACAUAGUCUCUAGCUAUCCUAGGAAAAGUUUGCUGUCCACUGGAUACCACCUACCAGACUAUGCGGAAUUAAACAUAAUAAACGGGUCUCCUCUCCCAAAAGUUAACACCAUGCAGACACAGACACACACACAGCUAAAACAAACAGCCAUCCAGAACACCUCAACAACUUAAUCAGAAUAUUUAAGAAACACACACAAUUAGAAGGGAGCUGGGAAGAGAGAAUAAAAGAACAGAAUAGAAUCACAGAGGGCCUUCCUGGUCUGUAGAGCAACACAACACUUAUGUGGAGGGCUACCUAUGAGGAGGACUUCUAGUGGGACCAACAACUAAUCCCAAAGGUUGGAGAAUUUCUCGCUGGAAUUCUACCUGGCUCUUCCACAGAGAGCAAGAGAACAACUCCUUUGCAGAUCCACACGGACACAUUUUACACUCAUCCACUGAGAGGCUCAGUGGCCCUCUGAUCUCCACUCAGCACUGGCUAAUAGGAGCGAUGAGAGGAAGGGGCCCUGCUGCUCUCACCCUCAAGCACACAGCUCCUUGAGCAGCUCAUUCCCUGGGUGUGUCACAUUCCAUCUCUUUAGGUACUUCCAUGUGGAAAAAAAAAAAAGGUAAACACUCAUGUAAUACAUUUGGUCACAUAACUCAGCUGUAAAACCACAGUUAAAAACAAUAAAGGCCCCAAUGCUAAAAGUUGAAUUUCUCUAAUAUUCUUAUCGCUUUUGAGCAACUGUUUUAGAAUCCCCAAGUGGUACGGUUAAUGCGCUUGGCUGCUAACAGAAAGGUUGGAUGUUCAGUCCCACCCAGUGGUACCUCAGAAGAAAGGCCUGGUGAUCUACUCCAAAAAAAAAUCAGCCACUGAAAACCCUAUGGAGCACAAUUCUGUGCCAACACACAGGCGGUCGCCGUGAGUCAAAACUGACUUGAUGGCAACUGUUGGUUAGCAACUGCUGCGUUUUUGUCCCAACCUGGCUGGGCCACCUUCUCCUCAGGGUCACAGGACCUGAACAUGCUGAUCAGCUGUUCCCCUCUGGCCUCACCACUGUGGACUCUACCCAGCUCUGCCAAGUGGGAAACGGUUGCCAUCAGUCUGCAGAGAGCUGCAUCCUGUGUGCUGGCAAUCUCAGGGAGAGGCGGUGUAAACACAUAGGACAGCUCUGGGAGGACCCGUGGAGAAAUCAGGAGGGGGUACACUGGCCACAGAUCAGUCCCCGGUACAGGGGAGAGUUCGCCCUCACAAAGUUAACAGGAGCUCUGAAAACAAACUGUGGAAGACCAGGAACCAUAAAACACAAAGCAUGUGCGACGUUCAAGAUGCUAAGAAAUACAAGGUUUGUGCUCUGAAACAGAUGCGCAAAGAGAAUUCAGUUUCGCCUCACGUGAUAGUACAGUCCUUUAGCUUUCAGAGUGCCAGACAAAUGAGGAUCAGAAACAUGUUUCACCCAGAGUAAAGAUGGAAUGAAAAAGAACCCCCUCCCACCCCAAAAAAGGGAAGAAAAGAAGCCAGGACACACCAGAAAUAGCUUAUGUGAGUCUGUUUCUAAGCGCCAAAGGGUCUGUGCAUCACAAGAGAGAUUCCCUCGCAAUGUGUGUUAUAGGGAGUCCAAGCAUUACUAUAUAUGGUAUGUUUACGGAGUGGUUAGACACAAACAAUGCAGAACUUAUACGAGACCAGAACUUGCUUUGAAAGAGCUGGUUGUGCUGCAUUUAUGUCCACAAGAUAUCCCCAAAGUCAAAACUAACUGCAGAUGCUUCAAGAAGAAAAGUCUCAUGACUUACUGGCACUCUUAAUUGCAGUGACUCCAUCUCACUGCCCUCCAAGGCUGCGUGCACACACACUUCCUUCUCCAUCGGCUCCUCCCCUCCCCACCGCCCACUUUCCCCCUCGCCGGUCAUCCACAGCGGUCCCACAGAGGCAGAAAUGCACGCCGAAGAAUGUCUCUGCUGAAUGGGGCCUAUGUUACAGGACCCAGGGCCCGCACCAGCACUCCACCGAUUUCUCGAGAAACAGCUGGCCAGGCCGAGGCCUGCCUCGCACAGGCUCCGCAUCUCCACGGAGUGUUUUCAUAAUGUAAAGGGUUCUGCACAGAAGAGGGGAAGCCAGACACUGAAGUCUGAAGAUGUUUUAAAGUCCUGGAGGAGGAAAGGAGGGGGGGACAGAGGGGGAGGGGGCAGACAGAGAGACGUGGGGAGAAAGGCUUCAUCACUGGCUUUAACAGUCUUGCCCAACCUGUUCUACGGUAUGUUCUGUUAACUCCUUUCUGGCAAAUGGAUGCAAGCAGCUGCCCCUCUUGUUCCUCCUUUUCCCCACAACUGUACCAAGGCAGACUUGUGGAGAAAAGGCACAAAGAGACUAAUCCAUAAUUUUUACUAUAUGGCAUGAGACCUUUACUAUCAGCUGCCUGAGGCUGUCAUCUCCCUGGAUGCUACUAACUUCUCUAACUCUCCUCACCCCACCUCUAGAACAAGCAAAUCAAAGUUGGGGUUUGUCUUUUCAGAAAGAAAAACAUUACCUUGGUCCAGUUUUCAGGCACUUGAACAAUGUACUAUAUCAGAAAGUUAUAAAGUUGUUUUGCUUUGUUUUGUUUGACAUUAGCAUUUACAGGGUUAAUGGACAGCCUGCCGACCAGAAAUUUCCCUGCUUAGCAACAGAAGCAUCAACUAAGCCACAGGGGUUGUUUUGACACAGGAAAAACAGUUUCUACCUGGUGAAAAUACCUGGUGAUGAUGUUUCAGUUGCCAUUUUUAAGCAACAAUCACAGGAGAAGAGCAGUAAAAAAACUACGGUAAAAAGGAGAAAACUCCCAAAACGAGACUUGCUCAGCUGUGAGGUUCAACUCAAAACCAAAGCAUUGAUACAAGGUACCACAUAUAUAAAAUGUCUCUAAAAGCCAAAGACGACUUCAGGGUUCAGAAAACUGCUCUUUGUGAGUUCACGUUCCCCUAGCGUCUUGUUUAUAGCUGCUUAGCCUUUACAGCUAUCUCAAAGACUUCUCAGGUGGUAGUAGAUUUUUUUAAAUCCUUCUCAGACAGACUCCCCCCAUGGUGUGACGAACAGGAAAGCAGGAAUUUUACAAGAGAUUAUAUAAUUUUUUCCUUCAACAUGUUUGUUUGUCUCAAUUUUAGCAAAAACGCAAAUGCAACCCAAAAGGUCUCUAUAAUCUGCCUGAAAUAACAACAAAUCAAUACAUUCCUUGAAAUUUAAAUAUCCACUUUAAAUUGCAACUACAGAAAGCUCCCUCAUUUUCAGCAAACAACUGUUUUGUUUUUUUGGAAGCUCCAGGAUGCUCGAAUGCUAGGAUGUUUACUGUUUUUUUUUUUUUUUUU